rnacentral:rRNA from 1 species
GGGUUGUGAGGUUAAGCGACUAAGCGUACACGGUGGAUGCCCUGGCAGUCAGAGGCGAUGAAGGACGUGCUAAUCUGCGAUAAGCGUCGGUAAGGUGAUAUGAACCGUUAUAACCGGCGAUUUCCGAAUGGGGAAACCCAGUGUGAUUCGUCACACUAUCAUUAACUGAAUCCAUAGGUUAAUGAGGCGAACCGGGGGAACUGAAACAUCUAAGUACCCCGAGGAAAAGAAAUCAACCGAGAUUCCCCCAGUAGCGGCGAGCGAACGGGGAGCAGCCCAGAGCCUGAAUCAGUGUGUGUGUUAGUGGAAGCGUCUGGAAAGGCGUGCGAUACAGGGUGACAGCCCCGUACACAAAAAUGCACAUACUGUGAGCUCGAUGAGUAGGGCGGGACACGUGGUAUCCUGUCUGAAUAUGGGGGGACCAUCCUCCAAGGCUAAAUACUCCUGACUGACCGAUAGUGAACCAGUACCGUGAGGGAAAGGCGAAAAGAACCCCGGCGAGGGGAGUGAAAAAGAACCUGAAACCGUGUACGUACAAGCAGUGGGAGCACGCUUAGGCGUGUGACUGCGUACCUUUUGUAUAAUGGGUCAGCGACUUAUAUUCUGUAGCAAGGUUAACCGAAUAGGGGAGCCGAAGGGAAACCGAGUCUUAACUGGGCGUUAAGUUGCAGGGUAUAGACCCGAAACCCGGUGAUCUAGCCAUGGGCAGGUUGAAGGUUGGGUAACACUAACUGGAGGACCGAACCGACUAAUGUUGAAAAAUUAGCGGAUGACUUGUGGCUGGGGGUGAAAGGCCAAUCAAACCGGGAGAUAGCUGGUUCUCCCCGAAAGCUAUUUAGGUAGCGCCUCGUGAAUUCAUCUCCGGGGGUAGAGCACUGUUUCGGCAAGGGGGUCAUCCCGACUUACCAACCCGAUGCAAACUGCGAAUACCGGAGAAUGUUAUCACGGGAGACACACGGCGGGUGCUAACGUCCGUCGUGAAGAGGGAAACAACCCAGACCGCCAGCUAAGGUCCCAAAGUCAUGGUUAAGUGGGAAACGAUGUGGGAAGGCCCAGACAGCCAGGAUGUUGGCUUAGAAGCAGCCAUCAUUUAAAGAAAGCGUAAUAGCUCACUGGUCGAGUCGGCCUGCGCGGAAGAUGUAACGGGGCUAAACCAUGCACCGAAGCUGCGGCAGCGACGCUUAUGCGUUGUUGGGUAGGGGAGCGUUCUGUAAGCCUGUGAAGGUGUACUGUGAGGUAUGCUGGAGGUAUCAGAAGUGCGAAUGCUGACAUAAGU